AACUUGGGCAGAGGUCAGGGGUCACGCGAGGUCAGUCCGCCGGGAGGGCUAGGGAGACGGUCACGAAACCUGGAGUCAAGAGUUCAGGCUUGUUGGCUUCUGGUGUGAUUCCCUUCAGUACGGCGGCACCGUGGAAGUGCAGACUUUCACAGGGGGUGUGGUCUCAGCUCACACAGGUGCUCCAGAGGCUGGUGGACCUGAGCGGAGGCUGGGACGCCCUGGUGGGCCCCGGGCCCUGGAAGGCGGGUCCCGGUGGCCGGUGGCCCAGAAUGAGGCCAGCUCCCAGCAUGCCCUGCAGCCGGACGCCAGCCCCUCGGCCAGCAGCAGUGGUGAUAACGACCCAGUCAUUCUUCAGGCAUCCAAGGAGGAGCCUGGGAGUGGGACCAUGCAGAGCAGCCCCUCCCCUGCUCACCCUCAGCUCCCAGUCCUACAGACACAGAUGGUGUCGGACGGCAUGACAGGCAGCAAUCCUGUGUCCCCUGCCUCAUCCAGUUCCCCAGCCUCUAGUGGGGCAGGCGGCAUCUCCCCCCAGCACAUAGCUCAAGAUUCCUCCCUGGAUGGACCUCCAGGACCCCCAGAUGGUGCCACAGUGCCCCUGGAGGGGUUCAGCUUAUCCCAGGCUGCUGACCUGGCUAACAAGGGCCCGAAGUGGGAGAAGAGCCAUGCCGAAAUCGCGGAACAGGCCAAGCAUGAGGCUGAGAUUGAGACUCGGAUUGCUGAGCUGCGGAAGGAGGGUUUCUGGUCACUGAAGAGGCUGCCUAAGGUGCCAGAGCCCCCUCGCCCCAAAGGUCACUGGGACUAUCUGUGCGAAGAGAUGCAGUGGCUCUCUGCUGACUUUGCUCAGGAGCGCCGUUGGAAACGGGGUGUGGCCCGUAAGGUGGUGCGCAUGGUGAUCCGGCACCAUGAGGAGCAGCGGCAGAAAGAGGAACGGGCCCGGAGGGAGGAGCAGGCCAAGCUGCGUCGAAUCGCUUCCACCAUGGCCAAGGAUGUCAGGCAGUUCUGGAGCAAUGUGGAGAAGGUGGUGCAAUUCAAGCAACAGUCCCGGCUUGAGGAAAAGCGCAAAAAAGCCCUGGACCUGCAUUUGGACUUCAUUGUUGGGCAAACUGAAAAGUACUCGGACCUUCUGUCUCAGAGCCUCAACCAGCCAUUAGCCUGCAGCAAAGCAGGCUCUUCCCCUUGCCUCGGCUCUUCCUCAGCUGCCUCCAGUCCUCCACCCCCUGCUUCCCGCCUGGAUGAUGAAGAUGGGGACUUUCAACCCCAAGAGGAGGAGGAAGAGGAUGAUGAGGAAACGAUUGAGGUUGAAGAACAACAGGAGGGCAAUGAUGCAGAGGCCCAGAGGCGUGAGAUUGAGCUGCUUCGCCGUGAGGGAGAAUUGCCACUGGAAGAGCUGCUCCGUUCCCUUCCCCCUCAACUACUGGAAGGGCCUUCCAGCCCCUCUCAAACCCCCUCAUCUCAUGAUAGUGACACCCGAGAUGGGCCUGAAGAAGGUGCUGAAGAAGAGCCCCCUCAGGUGUUGGAGAUAAAGCCCCCACCCUCUGCUGUCACACAGUGCAACAAACGGCCUUGGCAUCCAGAUGAAGAUGAUGAAGAGUUUACUGCCAAUGAGGAGGAAGCGGAGGAUGAAGAGGACACUAUAGCAGCUGAGGAACAGUUGGAAGGGGAGGUGGAUCAUGCCGUGGAGCUGAGCGAGUUGGCUCGAGAAGGUGAGCUUUCCAUGGAGGAGCUAUUGCAGCAGUAUGCAGGAGCCUAUGCCCCAGGCUCUGGGAGCAGUGGUGAUGAGGAUGAAGAUGAGGUUGAUGCUAAUAGCUCUGACUGUGAACCAGAGGGGGCCGUGGAAGCGGAAGAAGCUCCUCAGGAGGAUAGUAGCAGUCAGUCAGACUCUGUGGAGGACCAGAGUGAGGAUGAGGAAGAUGAACAUUCAGAAGAGGAAGAAACAAGUGGAAGUUCAGCAUCAGAGGAAUCUGAGUCUGAAGAGUCUGAGGAUGCCCAAUCACAGAGCCAAGCAGAUGAAGAGGAGGAAGAUGAUGAUUUUGGGGUGGAAUACUUGCUUGCCAGGGAUGAAGAGCGGAGUGAGGCAGAUGCAGGCAGUGGGCCUCCCACUCCAGGGCCCACCACUACUCUAGGUCCAAAGAAAGAAAUUACUGACAUUGCUGCAGCAGCCGAAAGUCUCCAGCCCAAGGGUUACACGCUGGCCACUACCCAGGUAAAGACGCCCAUCCCCCUGCUUCUGCGGGGCCAGCUCCGGGAGUACCAGCACAUUGGGCUAGACUGGCUGGUUACCAUGUACGAGAAGAAGCUUAAUGGCAUUCUUGCUGAUGAGAUGGGGCUUGGGAAGACCAUCCAGACCAUCUCCCUGCUUGCCCACUUGGCUUGUGAGAAAGGUAACUGGGGUCCCCAUUUAAUCAUUGUUCCCACCAGUGUGAUGUUGAACUGGGAAAUGGAGUUGAAACGGUGGUGCCCCAGCUUUAAAAUCCUCACUUACUAUGGAGCCCAGAAAGAGAGGAAGCUCAAGCGGCAGGGCUGGACCAAGCCCAAUGCCUUCCAUGUUUGUAUCACAUCUUACAAGCUGGUGCUGCAGGACCACCAGGCCUUCCGCCGCAAGAAUUGGCGCUAUCUCAUUCUGGAUGAGGCACAGAACAUCAAAAACUUCAAGUCACAGCGCUGGCAGUCACUCCUCAACUUCAACAGCCAGAGGCGCCUGCUCCUGACAGGAACUCCCUUGCAGAACAGCCUCAUGGAGCUGUGGUCCUUGAUGCACUUUUUGAUGCCCCAUGUCUUCCAGUCUCAUCGCGAGUUCAAGGAGUGGUUCUCUAAUCCCCUAACUGGCAUGAUUGAGGGCAGCCAAGAGUAUAAUGAAGGUCUUGUCAAACGCCUCCACAAGGUUUUGAGGCCUUUUUUACUGCGCCGAGUUAAGGUGGAUGUUGAGAAGCAGAUGCCCAAAAAGUAUGAGCAUGUUAUCCGCUGCAGGCUCUCCAAGCGUCAACGCUGUCUCUAUGAUGACUUCAUGGCACAAACCACAACUAAGGAGACACUAGCCACAGGCCAUUUCAUGAGCGUCAUCAACAUUUUGAUGCAGCUGAGAAAAGUUUGCAAUCAUCCAAAUCUGUUCGACCCUCGACCGGUUACCUCCCCUUUCAUCACCCCAGGCAUCUGCUUCAGCACCGCCUCUCUGGUGCUAAGGGCCACGGAUGUCCAUCCCCUCCAGCGGAUAGACAUGGGUCGAUUUGACCUUAUUGGCCUGGAAGGUCGUGUCUCUCGAUAUGAGACAGACACAUUUCUGCCCCGGCACCGCCUCUCUCGCCGGGUACUGCUAGAGGUGGCUACUGCUCCUGAUCCCCCACCCCGGCCCAAGCCAGUCAAGAUGAAGGUCAACAGGAUGCUGCAGCCAGUACCUAAGCAAGAAGGCCGGACAGUGGUCGUAGUGAACAACCCACGGACGCCCCUGGGCCCUGUCCCGGUUCGACCCCCUCCAGGUCCUGAGCUCUCAGCCCAGCCCAGCCCUGGCCCAGCCCCCUCAGUGCUGCCAGCACCACUGAUGGUUUCAGCCUCACCUGCUGGACCCCCCCUUAUUCCUGCAUCUCGGCCUCCUGGCCCUGUCAUCUUGCCUCCACUGCAGCCAAACAGUGGUUCUCUCACUCAGGUGUUGCCAUCCCCCCUGGGAGUCCUGAGUGGGACCUCACGGCCUCCCACGCCAACCUUGUCCCUAAAGCCAACACCACCUGCCCCAGUUCGACUGAGCCCAGCCCCACCUCCAGGUUCCUCUAGCCUGUUGAAGCCCCUGACAGUGCCACCAGGUUACACCUUCCCUCCUGCUGCUGCCACUACCACUUCUACCACCACGGCAACUGCUACCACGACAGCAGUGCCAGCUCCGACUCCUGCACCACAGCGCCUCAUUCUAUCUCCCGAUAUGCAAGCUCGCCUGCCCUCAGGUGAAGUGGUCAGCAUCGGGCAGUUAGCCUCACUGGCACAACGUCCAGUGGCUAAUGCAGGGGGAAGCAAACCUCUCACCUUCCAAAUCCAGGGCAACAAGCUGACACUGACUGGUGCCCAGGUGCGCCAGCUUGCUGUGGGGCAGCCCCGCCCGCUGCAAAGGAAUGUGGUGCACCUCGUGUCAGCAGGGGGGCAGCACCACCUCAUCAGCCAGCCUGCCCAUGUGGCCCUCAUCCAGGCCGUGGCCCCGACCCCUGGCCCUACCCCUGUCUCUGUGCUGCCUUCUUCGACCCCCAGCACCACCCUUGCCCCCACUGGCCUCAGCCUUCCGCUUGCUGCUAACCAGGUGCCACCAACCAUGGUGAAUAAUACAGGCGUGGUGAAGAUUGUAGUGAGACAAGCCCCUCGGGAUGGACUGACUCCUGUUCCUCCGUUGGCCCCAGCACCCCGGCCUCCGAGCUCUGGGCUUCCAGCUGUGUUGAAUCCACGCCCCACGUUAACCCCUGGCCGGCUACCCACACCUACUCUGGGUACUGCCCGAGCCCCCAUGCCCACACCCACUCUGGUGAGGCCUCUUCUCAAGCUGGUCCACAGUCCUUCACCUGAAGUCAGUGCUUCAACCCCUGGAACUGCCCCCUUGACCAUCUCUUCUCCUCUCCAUGUGCCAUCCUCACUCCCUGGGCCAGGCUCUUCUCCAAUGCCAAUUCCCAACUCCUCUCCUCUUGCUAGUCCUGUGUCCUCUACAGUCUCAGUUCCAGCGUCAUCUUCACUCCCCAUCUCUGUCCCCACCACACUUCCUGCCCCAGCCUCGGCUCCACUCACCGUCCCCAUCUCAGCCCCCUUGCCUGUUUCCGCUUCGGGCCCAGCUCUGUUGACCAGUGUGACUCCACCACUGGCACCUGUUGUCCCAGCGGCUCCUGGACCUCCAUCCUUGGCACCAUCUGGUGCUUCCCCAUCAGCAUCAGCCUUGACUCUAGGUUUGGCCACAGCUCCGUCCCUGUCUUCAUCUCAGACACCUGGUCACCCUCUGUUGUUGGCUCCCACCUCUUCACAUGUUCCAGGGUUGAACUCAACCGUGGCCCCAGCAUGCUCACCUGUCCUGGUGCCAGCUUCAGCUCUGGCCAAUCCUUUUCCGGCAGCACCAAAUCCAGCUCCAGCUCAGGCUUCCCUUCUGGCUCCAGCAUCUUCUACAUCUCAGGCUCUAGCCACCCCUCUGGCUUCUAUGGCAUCUCCACAGACAGCAAUUCUGGCUCCUUCUCCAGCUCCUACUCUGGCUCCUCUUCCAGUCCUGGCACCAUCGCCAGGUCCUGCUCCUGUCCUGGCUUCAUCACAGACUCCGGUUCCAGUUAUGGCUCCAUCGUCUACUCCAGGAACCUCUUUAGCCUCAGCUUCACUGGUACCAGCUCCAACCCCUGUGUUGGCUUCAUCAUCAACUCAAACUUUGCUACCAGCCCCGGUUCCAUCACCUCUCCCGAGCCCGGUUUCUACACAGACACUGGCCCUAGCCCCAGCUUUAGCACCCACUCUUGGAGGCUCAUCUCCAUCUCAGACACUCUCUUUGGGCACGGGGAACCCCCAGGGACCCUUUCCAACUCAGACAUUGUCAUUAACUCCAGCAUCAUCCCUGGUACCAACUCCAGCCCAGACACUGUCUUUGGCACCAGGACCACCACUGGGUCCAACUCAGACGCUGUCUCUGGCUCCAGCACCUCCUCUGGCUCCAGCUUCUCCGAUGGGCCCAGCUGCAGCUCACACGCUGACUUUGGCUCCAGCAUCGUCAUCUGCUUCACUCCUGGCCCCAGCUUCAGUGCAGACACUGACCUUGAGCCCUGCCCCAGUUCCUACCCUGGGCCCGGCUGCAGCUCAGACCUUGGCGCUGGCCCCAGCCUCCACACAGUCCCCAGCUUCCCAGGCAUCUUCCCUUACGGUUUCGGCAUCUGGUGCCGCUCCCUUGCCUGUCACCAUGGUAUCCCGGCUGCCUGUUUCCAAGGAUGAGCCUGACACACUGACAUUGCGCUCUGAUCCCCCCAGCCCUCCCUCCACUGCUACCUCGUUUGGUGGCCCCCGGCCUCGACGCCAGCCCCCCCCACCACCUCGUUCCCCUUUUUAUCUGGACUCCCUGGAGGAAAAGCGGAAGCGGCAGCGGUCUGAACGCCUGGAACGGAUUUUCCGACUUAGUGAGGCUCAUGGGGCCCUGGCACCUGUGUAUGGGACUGAAGUCCUGGAUUUCUGUACCUUACCCCAACCUGUUGCCAGCCCCAUCGGCCCUCGUUCUCCUGGCCCCAGCCACCCCACCUUUUGGACUUAUACCGAGGCUGCCCACCGGGCUGUACUGUUUCCCCAGCAGCGACUAGACCAGCUGUCAGAAAUCAUUGAGAGGUUCAUCUUUGUCAUGCCUCCUGUGGAGGCACCUCCCCCUUCCCUGCAUGCCUGCCACCCACCUCCUUGGCUGGCCCCACGUCAGGCAGCCUUCCAGGAGCAAUUGGCCUCUGAGCUCUGGCCCCGGGCUCGUCCUUUGCACCGUAUUGUGUGUAACAUGCGCACCCAGUUCCCCGACUUGAGACUCAUCCAGUAUGAUUGCGGAAAAUUGCAGACGUUGGCAGUGCUGUUGCGGCAGCUCAAGGCAGAGGGCCACCGAGUGCUUAUCUUCACCCAGAUGACCCGAAUGCUGGAUGUAUUGGAGCAGUUUCUCACCUACCAUGGCCAUCUCUACCUGCGCCUGGAUGGGUCUACUAGAGUUGAACAGAGACAGGCCUUGAUGGAACGGUUCAAUGCAGACAAACGCAUAUUCUGCUUCAUCCUUUCAACUCGGAGUGGGGGUGUGGGCGUGAACCUGACAGGAGCAGACACUGUUGUUUUUUAUGACAGCGACUGGAAUCCCACCAUGGAUGCUCAGGCCCAGGACCGCUGUCACCGAAUUGGCCAGACCCGGGAUGUUCACAUAUAUAGGCUUAUCAGUGAACGGACAGUGGAGGAGAACAUCCUAAAAAAGGCAAAUCAGAAGAGAAUGUUGGGAGACAUGGCCAUUGAGGGAGGCAACUUCACCACAGCCUAUUUUAAACAGCAGACCAUCCGAGAGCUGUUUGAUAUGCCCCUGGAGGAACCUUCUAGCUCAUCUGUGCCCUCUGCCCCUGAAGAGGAAGAAGAGACUGUGGCCAGCAAGCAGACUCAUAUUCUGGAGCAGGCAUUGUGUCGGGCAGAAGAUGAAGAGGAUAUCCGUGCGGCCACCCAGGCCAAGGCUGAACAGGUGGCUGAGCUUGCAGAAUUUAAUGAGAACGAUGGGUUUCCUGCUUGUGAGGGAGAGGAGGCUGGCCGGCCUGGGGCUGAGGAUGAGGAGAUGUCCCGGGCUGAGCAGGAAAUUGCUGCCCUCGUAGAACAGCUGACCCCCAUUGAGCGUUAUGCCAUGAAAUUCCUGGAGGCCUCACUGGAGGAGGUGAGCCGAGAGGAGCUCAAACAGGCAGAAGAGCAAGUGGAAGCUGCCCGCAAAGACCUGGACCAAGCCAAGGAGGAGGUGUUCCGCCUACCCCAAGAGGAGGAGGAGGGGCCGGGGGCUGGGGAUGAGAGUUCCUGUGGGACUGGUGGAGGCACCCAUCGGCGCAGUAAAAAGGCCAAGGCCCCUGAGAGACCGGGGACUCGUGUCAGUGAGCGUCUUCGUGGAGCCCGGGCUGAGACUCAAGGGGCAAACCACACUCCUGUCAUAUCCGCCCAUCAAACUCGCAGCACCACCACACCGCCCCGCUGCAGUCCUGCCAGGGAGAGAGUUUCCAGGCCAGCACCUAGGCCUCGACCCACUCCAGCUUCAGCUCCAGCUGCAAUUCCUGCCCUUGUUCCUGUCCCAGUCUCUGCCCCAGUACCCAUUUCAACCCCAAAUCCAAUAACCAUUCUCCCUGUCCAUAUAUUGCCUUCUCCUCCCCCUCCUUCACAGAUUCCUCCUUGUUCUCCUGCUUGCACCCCUCCUCCCGCCUGUACCCCUCCACCAGCUCAUACACCGCCUCCAGCCCAAACCUGUCUUUUAACUCCUUCCCCUCCUCUCUUGCUUGGUCCACCUUCUGUGCCCAUUUCUCCCCCAGUCACCAACCUCCCCUUGGGCUUGAGGCCUGAGGCAGAACUGUGUGCCCAGGCAUUGGCAUCUCCAGAGUCCCUGGAGCUGGCUUCUGUGGCCAGUUCAGAAACCUCCUCACUUACUCUUGUGCCCCCUAAAGAUCUGUUGCCAGUUGCUGUGGAGAUCCUGCCUGUGUCUGAGAAGAACCUUUCUCUCACCCCUUCUGCACCCAGCCCGACCUUGGAGGCUGGCAGUGUCCCUAACGGUCAAGAACAGGAGGCACCAGAUUCUGCUGAGGGCACCACCCUUACAGUGCUGCCUGAAGGUGAGGAGUUGCACCUUCAGUGUGUGAGUGAGAGCAAUGGCCUGGAGCUCCCACCCUCAGCAGCAUCUGAUGAGCCACUUCAGGAGCCACUGGAAGCUGACAGGACCUCGGAAGAGCUGGCAGAGGCCCAGACCCCAACCUCCAGCCCAGAGAAGCCACAGGAACUUGUUACACCUGAGGUUGCAGCUCCAUCCACCUCAUCUUCAGCCACUUCCUCGCCUGAGGGUCCUUCACCUGCCCGACCUCCUCGGCGUCGCACCAGUGCUGAUGUGGAAAUUAGGGGUCAAGGAACUGGUCGGCCAGGACAACCACCAGGCCCCAAAGUGCUUCGAAAGCUGCCAGGACGGCUAGUAACUGUGGUAGAGGAAAAGGAACUGGUGCGGCGGCGGCGGCAGCAGCGGGGAGCUGCCAGCACCCUAGUGCCUGGGGUCUCUGAGACUAGCGCCAGCCCAGGAAGCCCAUCUGUCCGCAGCAUGUCAGGGCCAGAAUCCUCCCCUCCCAUUGGUGGGCCUUGUGAAGCUGCUCCUUCAUCCUCACUGCCCACUCCACCCCAACAGCCCUUCAUUGCUCGCCGUCACAUUGAGCUGGGGGUGACUGGUGGUGGCACCCCAGAGAAUGGAGACGGAGCACUGCUUGCCAUCACCCCACCUGCUGUGAAACGUCGGAGGGGGAGGCCCCCCAAGAAGAACAGGUCUCCAGCAGAUGCUGGGAGAGGUGUGGAUGAGGCACCCUCAUCCACCUUGAAGGGAAAAACCAAUGGGGCUGACCCAGUCCCUCAGCCUGAGACCCUAAUUGUUGCAGAGCCUGUCCUGGAACCACAGUUUGUUCCUGGGCCCCAGCCUCUUGGACCCCAGCCACUUCACAGACCCAAUCCUAUCCUGUCACCUGUGGAGAAAAGGCGGCGAGGGCGACCCCCUAAGGCACGAGAUUUGCCCAUCCCUGGGACCAUUUCCUCUCCAGGGGAUGGCAACUCCGAAAGUCGGACACAGCCACCCCCACACCCAUCACCCCUAACCCCACUCCCACCACUGCUAGCUUGUCCCACUGCUACUGUUGCCAACACGGUCACCACUGUCACCAUUUCAACGUCCCCACCCAAACGGAAGAGGGGCCGACCUCCCAAGAAUCCUCCAUCACCUCGGCCCAGCCAGCUCCCUGUGUUGGACCGUGACAGCACUUCUGUCCUUGAGAGCUGUGGAUUGGGGAGGCGACGGCAUCCGCAGGGCCAAGGGGAGAGUGAGGGUAGUUCCUCUGAUGAGGAUGGAAGCCGCCCCCUCACCCGCCUGGCCCGCCUUCGGCUUGAAGCAGAAGGAAUGCGAGGACGGAAGAGUGGAGGGUCCAUGGUGGUGGCUGUAAUUCAGGAUGACCUGGACUUAGCAGAUAGCGGGCCAGGCGGGUUGGAAUUGACACCACCUGUGGUCUCAUUAGCCCCAAAACUGCGCUCGACCCGGCUGCGUCCAGGGUCUCUAGUCCCCCCACUAGAGACUGAGAAGGUGCCUCGCAAACGAGCAGGGGCCCCAGUUGGUGGGGGUCCUGGGCUGGCAAAGCGGGGCCGCCUACAGCCCCCAAGUCCCCUGGGGCCUGAGGGUUCGGUAGAGGAGUCUGAGGCUGAAGCCUCAGGUGAGGAGGAGGAAGGGGAUGGGACCCCACGCCGACGUCCUGGUCCCCGCCGGCUUGUUGGGACCACCAACCAAGGGGACCAGCGCAUCUUGCGCAGCAGUGCCCCUCCCUCCCUGACUGGCCCUACUGUUAGUUACAGAGGCCGCAAGGCCAAGACGUGAGUGGGCUGCCCCUCCACCUAGGCUUUCCACCGUGGCCGCUCCCUCCAUGACCAGGCCUGACUCUGUUAACCACUACUUGAAGUCUUGAGGGGGAAAGCCUCCAGGGAGACAUAGGGGCCUUCUCCCUUCUUCCCACCAAAGUAGGGGGUAGGCAACUGGUUGUCAUGGAAAUGGGGAUCAUCACAGUCCCCCUCCCCUUCACCCCACGUGGCUGGGCAGUGUUAAGGGUGGCAAGAUAGUUUCUGUCCCCACCCCCUUGUACUUGAUUCCCCAGCUGUCUUUCACAGCCCCCCACCCUUAGGGGAAAGGGGAGGGGCUUCUCUACAAUGAGGUUUUUUUCUUUUUUUCUUUUUUUCUUUUUUUUUUUUUUUAAGAAGAAAAAAUAAUAAACUUAGUUUCUGUACGAGCAUCCGCGUAAGGAGGCUUCUGAUUUUCUGGUCUGGUGGAGGGUUGGGUGGGAACUUGGGCAUCGUUUUUCUCUUCCCUCUUGCUCUUGCAAAGAUCCUAGCACCUGAUCUCUAGCCUAGGACUGUAUAUUCCAAGUAGAAACCUACCCAAGAAAAGGGAAGAUUGGUGAAUUUGAUGUGGUAGGGUGCCUUUCCCAAGUCAGUUUGAAGUCACAGACAUCCUUUUCCUCCUUUCUUUUCCCUUGGUUCCUAGACGUUCCUCGGAGCUCUUGGAUGCCUCAGACCUUUCCCUUUUAUCCCUCUUGCUCAGGUGCUUCCUUUCACUCCUUUUUCCAGAGGGCAGGCGUCCUAGCUCCAGUUGGUCCAUCCCUUGGGCCCUCCCCGGCUCUUCAUCUAGCCAAACUGGUUUGAGUCAGCCACACCCCUUCCCAGCUCCCUGAGCUCUUCAGGUGGUGGCUGGCCACUCAACCCCACCCCUGGGCUUGGCUUGGAGCCCUGAGUCAGCUCCAUCACCACCCAAGCCAAACCAAAGCUGAGGCAGGAGCCGAAACUCAGAGUCCCUCAAAGCCUAUAGCCAGGUAAGAGCCCUGUUCAUUUUAUAUUCUCUGUUCACUCCCUGGGCCCUCCUUGUGUCUUCCUGUUGACUCUGUUUACCUCAUCCGAGUUACUUCUUUGUAUCUACUUCCCUGCAGCUUCUUGGCACACAUCAUUCUUUGCGCUCUGCUUGUCUCACCCCUUUCACCUUUCCUAUCCUUUGUUACUUGGGUUCAGGGAGCCAUUGUGGUUUCAUUUUGUGUGGGUUGUAGGAGAAUGGUUGGAGAUAAGGGUAGAAAGGUGGUUUGAUGCCAGGGCCUAGAGGACCUGAGAAGUAGGGAGACGAGAAAUAAUUAAGUAGGGCAUCAUUAUGCAGGUUUCUGUGUGAUAAUGAGGUCAUUUGGACCCAGUGUACUAGUCUGAUUGUGUUGUGUGGCCUGGGUUAAAAUAGAGAGAGGAGGUGGCAGGGAGGCAGCAUAGCAGAGGAAGACCUGACUUAGGGAAGUAAGGUCUUUUUGGUGUUUGGUUUCAGCGGUAAAAAAGGGCUUACUUGGGUAUAUUUUCCUUACCUUUCUCCAUUCCCAUAACUGUUUUCAUGUAAAAUGGCUGCUUUUCUUGAAGUGGGGUGCAGUACCUAGGGUUCUGCUCUCUGACAUCUAUAGUACUCAGGGGGCAGCCUCUUGGGAAUCUGGGGGAAUUGUAGGGUCCUUUGAAAUACAGAUUAAAAUAACAGAUUCAUAGCAGCUUUCAAGAGUUUCUGUUUCUCCUGCUGCUUGGUGUGCACCUGUCAUUUGGCCUCUUCCCACUUGUAACACUAAAUAAUACAGAUAAUGCCUUGUCUACAUUGGCUUGCUUUCAAAGACUCAGAACCUCAAGCUCAGGUAAAAGGAUUCCAGCCACACAUCACAUUUCCUCUUCUGCUCUGUGAGUCACUAGAGGAAUUUCCCAGUAAGGCAGCAUUCCUGAGUGCCAGGCUAUGCCAUGAGAACAGAGUGCUCCGAGGGGUGGAGUCUGAGCAAGCAAGGCCAAGGGCUCAGUUGUUGGGCUCACAAGUACCUUGACUAUCGCCCACAGGUGAUGGAGGACGAGGAGAAGGCAGUGGAGAUCUUGAUGGGCAACACGGAAGCUGCUCAUCCUCCAUCCCCCAUCCGCUGCUGCUGGCUCCGCCUCCGCUGCUUGGCAGCUACUAGCAUUAUCUGUGGCUGCUCUUGCCUGGGAGUCAUGGCUCUGGUGUUUGCCAUCAAGGCAGAAGAGCGGCAUAAAGCAGGCCGGUCCGAGGAGGCAGUGCGCUGGGGGGCCCGGGCCCGGAAAUUCAUCCUGGCCAGCUUUGCUGUCUGGCUUGCUGUUCUCACUCUGGGUCCCCUGCUGCUGUGGUUGCUCUCCUACGCCAUCGCUCAGGCUGAGUGACCCUGGAUGGCCUCUGCUGAGAGCCAGCUGAGACCUCCUGGAUCCUGCAGUGCGGCAUUGCUAAGGUCCUGUGACAGCAGUGGUUGGAAGGAUCCUGGUUGGAAGGAUGGGGACUCUCAAGGGGCUUCGGAAGAGCUCUUCUAGCCCUUUAUAAAAGGAGGGCAGCAGCUGAGACUGAUGAGAGGAGGGCAGCCUGCUCUGUUCUUUCAGGGCCCCCCAUCCCUAUCUCCCCCACCCAAGCCCACCCUAGGCCUCUACCCAGCGGGAGGGGUUGAAGACCAGGCCUGGUUUUAUUAGAAUUCAUUUUGUAAUAAAAGCCUUUUUUAGUGGUGAAAUA